GUGACUGUAGCAUAGUGGUUAAUGCUCCUGAUUGUGAGUCAGGCAGACGAGAGUUCGAAUCUCUUCAGUCACC
rnacentral:tRNA from 1 species